rnacentral:rRNA from 1 species
UGAGGGUGCAAGCGUUAAUCGGAAUUACUGGGCGUAAAGCGAGUGUAGGCGGCUAUUUAAGUCGGAUGUGAAAGCCCCGGGCUCAACCUGGGAAUUGCAUUCGAAACUGGAUGGCUAGAGUUUGGUAGAGGUAAGUGGAAUUCCGGGUGUAGCGGUGAAAUGCGUAGAUAUCCGGAGGAACAUCAGUGGCGAAGGCGACUUACUGGACCAAAACUGACGCUGAGGCUCGAAAGCGUGGGGAGCAAACAGGGAUUAGAUACCCUGGUAGUCCACGCCCUAAACGAUGUCAACUAGACGUUGGGUUCAUUAAGGAACUUAGUGUCGAAGCUAACGCGUUAAGUUGACCGCCUGGGGAGUACGGCCGCAAGGUUG